GGGUUGUGAGGUUAAGCGACUAAGCGUACACGGUGGAUGCCCUGGCAGUCAGAGGCGAUGAAGGACGUGCUAAUCUGCGAUAAGCGUCGGUAAGGUGAUAUGAACCGUUAUAACCGGCGAUUUCCGAAUGGGGAAACCCAGUGUGAUUCGUCACACUAUCAUUAACUGAAUCCAUAGGUUAAUGAGGCGAACCGGGGGAACUGAAACAUCUAAGUACCCCGAGGAAAAGAAAUCAACCGAGAUUCCCCCAGUAGCGGCGAGCGAACGGGGAGCAGCCCAGAGCCUGAAUCAGUGUGUGUGUUAGUGGAAGCGUCUGGAAAGACGCGCGAUACAGGGUGACAGCCCCGUACACAAAAAUGCACAUGCUGUGAGCUCGAUGAGUAGGGCGGGACACGUGGUAUCCUGUCUGAAUAUGGGGGGACCAUCCUCCAAGGCUAAAUACUCCUGACUGACCGAUAGUGAACCAGUACCGUGAGGGAAAGGCGAAAAGAACCCCGGCGAGGGGAGUGAAAAAGAACCUGAAACCGUGUACGUACAAGCAGUGGGAGCACAGAGCAAUCUGUGUGACUGCGUACCUUUUGUAUAAUGGGUCAGCGACUUAUAUUCUGUAGCAAGGUUAACCGAAUAGGGGAGCCGAAGGGAAACCGAGUCUUAACUGGGCGUUAAGUUGCAGGGUAUAGACCCGAAACCCGGUGAUCUAGCCAUGGGCAGGUUGAAGGUUGGGUAACACUAACUGGAGGACCGAACCGACUAAUGUUGAAAAAUUAGCGGAUGACUUGUGGCUGGGGGUGAAAGGCCAAUCAAACCGGGAGAUAGCUGGUUCUCCCCGAAAGCUAUUUAGGUAGCGCCUCGUGAAUUCAUCUCCGGGGGUAGAGCACUGUUUCGGCAAGGGGGUCAUCCCGACUUACCAACCCGAUGCAAACUGCGAAUACCGGAGAAUGUUAUCACGGGAGACACACGGCGGGUGCUAACGUCCGUCGUGAAGAGGGAAACAACCCAGACCGCCAGCUAAGGUCCCAAAGUCAUGGUUAAGUGGGAAACGAUGUGGGAAGGCCCAGACAGCCAGGAUGUUGGCUUAGAAGCAGCCAUCAUUUAAAGAAAGCGUAAUAGCUCACUGGUCGAGUCGGCCUGCGCGGAAGAUGUAACGGGGCUAAACCAUGCACCGAAGCUGCGGCAGCGACGCUUAUGCGUUGUUGGGUAGGGGAGCGUUCUGUAAGCCUGUGAAGGUGUACUGUGAGGUAUGCUGGAGGUAUCAGAAGUGCGAAUGCUGACAUAAGUAACGAUAAAGCGGGUGAAAAGCCCGCUCGCCGGAAGACCAAGGGUUCCUGUCCAACGUUAAUCGGGGCAGGGUGAGUCGACCCCUAAGGCGAGGCCGAAAGGCGUAGUCGAUGGGAAACAGGUUAAUAUUCCUGUACUUGGUGUUACUGCGAAGGGGGGACGGAGAAGGCUAUGUUGGCCGGGCGACGGUUGUCCCGGUUUAAGCGUGUAGGCUGGUUUUCCAGGCAAAUCCGGAAAAUCAAGGCUGAGGCGUGAUGACGAGGCACUACGGUGCUGAAGCAACAAAUGCCCUGCUUCCAGGAAAAGCCUCUAAGCAUCAGGUAACAUCAAAUCGUACCCCAAACCGACACAGGUGGUCAGGUAGAGAAUACCAAGGCGCUUGAGAGAACUCGGGUGAAGGAACUAGGCAAAAUGGUGCCGUAACUUCGGGAGAAGGCACGCUGAUAUGUAGGUGAAGUCCCUCGCGGAUGGAGCUGAAAUCAGUCGAAGAUACCAGCUGGCUGCAACUGUUUAUUAAAAACACAGCACUGUGCAAACACGAAAGUGGACGUAUACGGUGUGACGCCUGCCCGGUGCCGGAAGGUUAAUUGAUGGGGUUAGCGCAAGCGAAGCUCUUGAUCGAAGCCCCGGUAAACGGCGGCCGUAACUAUAACGGUCCUAAGGUAGCGAAAUUCCUUGUCGGGUAAGUUCCGACCUGCACGAAUGGCGUAAUGAUGGCCAGGCUGUCUCCACCCGAGACUCAGUGAAAUUGAACUCGCUGUGAAGAUGCAGUGUACCCGCGGCAAGACGGAAAGACCCCGUGAACCUUUACUAUAGCUUGACACUGAACAUUGAGCCUUGAUGUGUAGGAUAGGUGGGAGGCUUUGAAGUGUGGACGCCAGUCUGCAUGGAGCCGACCUUGAAAUACCACCCUUUAAUGUUUGAUGUUCUAACGUUGACCCGUAAUCCGGGUUGCGGACAGUGUCUGGUGGGUAGUUUGACUGGGGCGGUCUCCUCCUAAAGAGUAACGGAGGAGCACGAAGGUUGGCUAAUCCUGGUCGGACAUCAGGAGGUUAGUGCAAUGGCAUAAGCCAGCUUGACUGCGAGCGUGACGGCGCGAGCAGGUGCGAAAGCAGGUCAUAGUGAUCCGGUGGUUCUGAAUGGAAGGGCCAUCGCUCAACGGAUAAAAGGUACUCCGGGGAUAACAGGCUGAUACCGCCCAAGAGUUCAUAUCGACGGCGGUGUUUGGCACCUCGAUGUCGGCUCAUCACAUCCUGGGGCUGAAGUAGGUCCCAAGGGUAUGGCUGUUCGCCAUUUAAAGUGGUACGCGAGCUGGGUUUAGAACGUCGUGAGACAGUUCGGUCCCUAUCUGCCGUGGGCGCUGGAGAACUGAGGGGGGCUGCUCCUAGUACGAGAGGACCGGAGUGGACGCAUCACUGGUGUUCGGGUUGUCAUGCCAAUGGCACUGCCCGGUAGCUAAAUGCGGAAGAGAUAAGUGCUGAAAGCAUCUAAGCACGAAACUUGCCCCGAGAUGAGUUCUCCCUGACUCCUUGAGAGUCCUGAAGGAACGUUGAAGACGACGACGUUGAUAGGCCGGGUGUGUAAGCGCAGCGAUGCGUUGAGCUAACCGGUACUAAUGAACCGUGAGGCUUAACCUUACAACGCCGAAGGUGUUU
rnacentral:rRNA from 1 species